GUGCUCACUUCAGCAGUACAUAUGCUAAAACUGGACCUAUACAAAGAAGAUUAGCAUGGCCCCUGUGCAAGGAUGACACAAAAAUUCGGGGAGCAUUGCAUAUUUUU